AACGAACGCUGGCGGCAUGCCUAACACAUGCAAGUCGAACGAUAACUUCCGUUCUUGUUGCGCACGUGUGCGUAACUCGUGGGAACCUGCCCUUAGGUUCGGAAUCACUCCCCGUAAUUGGUGCUAAUACCGUAUAAUUUUUUCUGACCCAAGAUUUUUCGCCUCUGGGUGGUGCUGCGUUUGGUUAGCUUGUUGGUAGGGUAAAAGCCUACCAAGGCGACGAUCAAUAGCUGGUCUGAGAGGAUGAUCAGCCACACUGGGACGGAGACACGGCCCAAAGUCCUAAGGGAGGCAGCAGUGGGAGAUAGAGGACAAGGGGCGGAGGGCUGAUUGAGCAAUGCCGCGUGAGGGAUGAAGGCCUUAGGGUUGUAAAGCUCUUUUACCCGGGAUGAUAAUGACAGUACCGGGAGAAUAAGCUCCGGCUAAAUCCGUG
rnacentral:rRNA from 1 species